GACGAACGCUGGCGGCGUGCUUAACACAUGCAAGUCGAACGGAAAGGCCCUGCUUUUGUGGGGUGCUCGAGUGGCGAACGGGUGAGUAACACGUGAGUAACCUGCCCUUGACUUUGGGAUAACUUCAGGAAACUGGGGCUAAUACCGGAUAGGAGCUCCUGCUGCAUGGUGGGGGUUGGAAAGUUUCGGCGGUUGGGGAUGGACCCGCGGCUUAUCAGCUUGUUGGUGGGGUAGUGGCUUACCAAGGCUUUGACGGGUAGCCGGCCUGAGAGGGUGACCGGCCACAUUGGGACUGAGAUACGGCCCAGACUCCUACGGGAGGCAGCAGUGGGGAAUAUUGCACAAUGGGCGGAAGCCUGAUGCAGCAACGCCGCGUGCGGGAUGACGGCCUUCGGGUUGUAAACCGCUUUCGCCUGUGACGAAGCGUGAGUGACGGUAAUGGGUAAAGAAGCACCGGCUAACUACGUGCCAGCAGCCGCGGUGAUACGUAGGGUGCGAGCGUUGUCCGGAUUUAUUGGGCGUAAAGGGCUCGUAGGUGGUUGAUCGCGUCGGAAGUGUAAUCUUGGGGCUUAACCCUGAGCGUGCUUUCGAUACGGGUUGACUUGAGGAAGGUAGGGGAGAAUGGAAUUCCUGGUGGAGCGGUGGAAUGCGCAGAUAUCAGGAGGAACACCAGUGGCGAAGGCGGUUCUCUGGGCCUUUCCUGACGCUGAGGAGCGAAAGCGUGGGGAGCGAACAGGCUUAGAUACCCUGGUAGUCCACGCUGUAAACGGUGGGUACUAGGUGUGGGGUCCAUUCCACGGGUUCCGUGCCGUAGCUAACGCUUUAAGUACCCCGCCUGGGGAGUACGGCCGCAAGGCUAAAACUCAAAGGAAUCGACGGGGCCCCGCACAAGCGGCGGAGCAUGCGGAUUAAUUCGAUGCAACGCGUAGAACCUUACCUGGGUUUGACAUGGAUCGGGAGUGCUCAGAGAUGGGUGUGCCUCUUUUGGGGUCGGUUCACAGGUGGUGCAUGGCUGUCGUCAGCUCGUGUCGUGAGAUGUUGGGUUAAGUCCCGCAACGAGCGCAACCCUUGUUCACUGUUGCCAGCACGUUAUGGUGGGGACUCAGUGGAGACCGCCGGGGUCAACUCGGAGGAAGGUGGGGAUGACGUCAAGUCAUCAUGCCCCUUAUGUCCAGGGCUUCACGCAUGCUACAAUGGCUGGUACAGAGAGUGGCGAGCCUGUGAGGGUGAGCGAAUCUCGGAAAGCCGGUCUCAGUUCGGAUUGGGGUCUGCAACUCGACCUCAUGAAGUCGGAGUCGCUAGUAAUCGCAGAUCAGCAACGCUGCGGUGAAUACGUUCCCGGG
rnacentral:rRNA from 1 species